rnacentral:lncRNA from 12 species
GGAAGAAAGAGGGGAAAGGAGAAAAGAGGCUGUUACCUGCCAACUGUGAAAGCUCAUGUUUGGGGCUGGGACAGGGGACUGGCAGCAGCAAGGAGGCUUAUGGCAUAGCAGCACUGAUGUGAUUGUGUACAUCUCCGAGAAGUGUUUUUGGAAGCUUAACAGUGUAAUUCCAGGGAUGAUAUCGGCCCCAACGCUUUAGAAUCUGGGCCCACAGGGGGACUUUAUAUAGCUCUUUGGGAGGAAGAACCUACACUGCCAAAACAAAGUUCUCUGCCAGAAUUAGACCCUGAUUCUGUAAACUGCUUCCAUUAUCUAAGGUUCUGCCUAACUAAGCAUGUGCACACUAAAACGAAUUAUAAAUACUUGAAUUCCUGAA